rfam:Brachypodium distachyon strain Bd21 chromosome 3, whole genome shotgun sequence.
CAGGGUACCCUUUGACCCUCCUUAGUUCAACCAAAUGAGCUAAAGUUUUAAAAUGACAUAACUUUUUGAAAAACUAGUUCAUUUGUUACUAAGGAGGGUCAAAGGGUACCCUG